CCAGGGCUCAGCACGCGCGUUGGGUAACGCCGCCGACAUUUCACCUACUUUCAAGCCACUACUGCGACGAAUCUGUUUGGCCCCGAGUUGUUGUUGCCUCUGAGGAAAGUAUGUUUGCACGGCGGAGCCUCCCCACCCUCCCGCUGUAAUUCCCCGGGGCGGACGAGGAGGGAGAUGGGGAUUGAAGAGUCACAGUGUCUGAGCUCCUGCUUCGUAAAGAUAGAUGACUGGCAGCUUGGUAAUGGAUCUGAUGGGGUGAGACUUGCCAAGGGAUGAAGGCUCUGCAAUACUCCCAGCAUCACACUGCUCUAGGAGACAGGAAAACAGAAGGACCAAGCAAGGCUCCCCACUGACCCCAGUCAGACUCUCAUGCCUCACAGCACAUUACAGCACAUCACAGGAAGCUUUCCUUUGGUGAUUACAAUUGAGAGCACUUCAAAAUACAAUACUUUCUUCAAUGAUACAGUGAAGUAGCAAAUUCCACAAUUUAUCCUGUAGCUUGCUGCUUCAAGAAGAGAGAAUCUGUAGUUGAUAACAUCAAGUGAUCUUUCACAUCCUGUAUCAAUCAUAUUGAAUUGCAAGGAAAACUAGGAGCCUCCUGGAAGGUUUUGAUGGCUUUGCAGUGGAAAGAAUCAGGAAUGUGAGACUUGGGUGAAGAAUUUCAAUUAAAAGAAAGCCAGGAAGACCUUUGAAAUGAAAUGGACACCUGUAUUACAUUUUAAGAGAUAUCUUUUAUUUAUGUCUCAUAGACCAAUAUCCCUGCACAAAGCCUUUUUGUCUUACAUUUCAGCAGAGAAUCCUGCACUGAGAAGCUGCAGAUGGAAGAUUUGGUACAAGAAGUAAAAUUUUCAGGCAGGGAGAGAUUAAAUACUCCUUAAACACUGUUCAUACAUCUACCAUUUGCUGUUGGAAGUAUGCUUGUCAUGCUGCUGAGGAACAGGAAGGCAAUUUCAAGCAAUGGAAGCAGUACAAGGAAAGCGGAAGGAGACAACUGCGUUGGCACUUAGGAAGAUUGCUGGGAAAACUGAAAGCUCCCUGGAACAGGGUGAAGCCAGAAGCCACUCAGGAUAUGCAUCUGGAAGCUGUGGUGAGUGCCUUGCUGAGGCCUUUUGUUGGGGCCAGCUCUUGGCACAGCAUCUGACCCUGCUGGGCACUGUGACUCAACCAAGGUUAUGGGUAUGACUGAAGGCUCCAGAGUAAGUCUGGUCCACUUUGUGGUUCUGUAGUGCUGCCCCAGGGGCCGUGUGAAAUUAACAGCUGGAAAAUGAUGUCAAACCUGCUGUCACCUCUGUAUUACCACUCUAGGGCAAGAUAUAAAAGGAUAAUGUGGUUCUUACCGUAGGCAUAAUUCAGCCAUAGGAAAGAGUCCUGCAUUUCAGAAUGACAGGUCCUCCUGCACGACUGGAGCAUGAUCUAGUCGGUACCUGAGAUAUCUGUUGUUUACGGGCACUGACUCCUCACAAACAAGUCAACUAAAUGAAGCAAGCGGGUGAUAAAGUAGAGCUGAGAACUGCAUUGUCCUUCUCAGAGUCAUAAAAACUCAUCCCUUUUACAGCUGCUGAGUGCUUUGCCAAUAUCAUGCCAAGGUGAGAGCAGCGGGGGGAAGGGAAAGAUAUUGAAAAGGAAAAUAAAUGGGCCAGGUAAACAGUGCAGUUGCUGCUGCUGCUGCUGCUGUAGGGUUGCCAUGGCAACUGGGUGAAGAAGAGAAGGAGGAGGAGGAGAGAUGCGGGCUGAUCGAUAGUCCUGUGCUAGCUCAUCUGGCUUCCAUCCACGUGCUGCUACAGAGGGAGAGAAAAUCAAAGAGCCACACGCAGGGCGGACAGGGCCGCAGAUUCGAUACCCAGCAGCGGCUCGAUCAAUAGCUUGUUGGAAGGCGGGUAAUUGACUCCCGUUCUGCCCAGGAGAAAGCAGUGCAGAGACAGAGGUGUGUUUGUUAGCUACUGAUCCGCAGCUGUACUUUAUCUCCCAGUUUGUUCAUUUAGUUGAUUUGUUUGUUGAGAUCUCCUCUUCAGCCUGAUUUCUCGCUGUACCUGACAGAGAUGAGCACGGCUGUGGGACCACAGCCAGCAUCUCCCUCAAGUUCCACGGUCACUUUCCCUCUCCUGUCCUUUCUUUGGUCAUGUCAGCUGCUUUAUCUCUCACAGGCAGGGGGAAGAUGGAAACAAGAAAAAAUCUUUUCUUACAGGAUUUCUACAGCUUCCUUUGCUGCAUGGGUCUGGGAGCACCCAAGUACAGCUCCCCUGGGGAUGGCCCCCCUGAACUCAGGAAGCACAGUAGCUCCCAAACAAAUGAAAUAGUUACGUCUAUUUUUGCACUUCACAAACCAAGUGAAGUAUAGGCAGAUCUUUACAAUUGUUAUUUUCGUAAUUCUGCCAUUCUCCAGAGGAGUUACUUGCUGAGGAUGACCAGGUGAUGCUAUCAGAACAGACCAAAGAAUAAAAAGAGAGAGAGGAAAUGGAGGCAAGUCAGGGUAUGAUGAUUAAAAAACAGGAAGAUGCAGAAAAGAUAACCAGAGAAAAACAUGUGCUUAUGUAGCUCUGAGAUAUGUGGGCUGACUCUCCCCUUCUCUCCAGACCUGAGCAUACAGCCCUGGCACAAAGCACCCACCUGACCAGUGCAGGCAGCACUGCGCUUGUAAAUGAGCCUCUACAGUAAAUCAAGUUCACCUGCAUGUUGAUCAAACUUCUGCAGGCAUUUCCUAACAAAACAUAGUGGAAUUUGGGUGGUAAAAACAGGAGUUAUGCUUUAUGUUUUCUACCAAAUGAGCAGCACAGAAUUCCCUAUCACCUCCCAGGGCACUAAAAAUGUAAGCAGGAGUAAAGCAAUGCCCCCCUGCGUGGUGCAGCACUUAUCAGCAAACAGCACAAAAUGGUCCAUCUUGGCUUGAAAUUGCUCUGCAUGGCAAGGGCCAUCCAUUGCUUUAUACUUCUCUACUGUCCAGUUUACUGGAGUUCAGCUCUACAGUGAGCAUUUAGGCUCUGUGGUAAUAAGAAAAGUAGUAGCAUCCAUUGCUGGAUAAUUGAUACUGCUUUGCAGAGCAAUGAGCCCCUUAGGGUACUGCUAAGAAGCGGCAAGCACACCAGAAGUAUCACUUCCUUCAGUUAUCUAGAUUUUUCUUGGAGCUAUCCCAUCCAAAUGCUCUGCAAAUGCAAUUUUAUUUAGCUUCUGAAUUAAAAAUGAAAACUCAUUUGCUUGGAAUUCAGUGUCUCUUGAGCUAGCUGGCAGCAGUCCAGCUCUCAGAGCUCAUGCUUUUAGGGUCUGAUCCAAAUCCCAGAGAAGUCGCUGAAAAUCUCUCCACUGAUUUUAAUGAGUCAAACGAGUGUGUGAGGAGUAAACUAUCAUCUCUCAAGGCUUUUUUUUUAUUAUUACUAUUUCCUUUCCAUGCUCUGAAGCACUAGCAGGUGUAUCUCAUAGAAGCUGGAUGUAAAUCACGGUGGGAAGAGAGGGGCUGUGUGUGCACAACUGCUCCCUAUUGCACAACCCACAAAAUGCAGGCUGUGUCGGGCGAUACUAGCAGGGUAGGGAUUGCAGCUCUUUCCAUUCUCUUGCCUCUGGAAAUAUUUACAAACCACCCAGAGAAGCCUCUCUGCCCUGUAGAGUAUUUUUCCUCGGUUCCUUUGUGAGUGGGAAGAUAAGAGCUUCCUAACCUCUGGGCAUAAUUUAUGGCAGAAAUAAAUAGCAAGAUGAUAGAACAGCUCUAAAGUAAAUUAUUGAAAAUGUUCACCUCCAGAGAAAGCAGGCAGGUGGGUGAGCCAGAAUCAAGUCAGACUAAAAGCAUUAGAGGAAUUGUAGAUUCUUCUAGUCAUAAAGGAACAAAAAGUGUUCGCUGCACCUGCAGACCGCUUCCUCUCAAGAAGGAAGCUGGAAGGUUGGACAAAAUAUUAAACAGGCGAUAAAACAGCCUGCAGCCAAAUUUGUACAUGGGCAAAAUAACUGAAAGGGCAUAUAUUAUUCUGUGUUGUUACCAAGCUAAAUGCCUGGACAACCUGCCAACAAGCAGGAUAUUUAUUUGCUGAGUCCCUCUGUCUGACACAAAUGGGCAAAGUAAGAGGGUGCAGGGAAGACGGGGGAAGGGUGGGUUGGAUCUCGUCUGCAUCGGAAGGAUUCUGCAGUCAGCUCUGUGAGUUUGGCUGAUCAGUGAGCAAAUUCAAGGGCCUGGCCACAGAAGCACAAUCUAAAUUCUGGCAAGAAUGAGGUAAUCCAAAUGCAGCGUGAGCAUAUUUGCAAGGGAAAUGAUGUAACGCACAGACUGCCUACAUCCUUCUCAAAAGGGACCUUAAGGGUCUCUCAGGCUACAUGGGAGCUGUGGAACAGCAUCUCGCCUACUUCUGCGCUGGCAUGCAUUCACAGCUGUACGCACCAGCCUCAAAGGCAGGGUCCCUUUACAUUUCUGUGUCACCUACUGAAAUGCCACUUUCCAGGGACCUGCUGAGAAAUGUUCCUAGCAGGGAACCAACUCCUUCUCAAAGCUAGAGCAGUAGGGUUAAGUCAAGCUCUAUCAAUUGUUAAACAUGGGAUUUUGGUAACACAAGAUUCCUGUAUCCUAAAAAGCAAGAAAAACAACUGCAGUCCCACACUAGCAGAAAGGUAUCAGUGCUCCAGUUCUGUGGUUCAUACCAUAAUGUUUCCCUGAGGCCUCGAAACAGGGGUCAUAAAGCAAAUCUGGGAGUGUUUAACACAGAGCUGUCUGGCAGGCCGUCUGUAGGCUGGGAUCAGGUCUUGGCAAUUUUCUUUGAAUUCCAUCUUUGCAAUGGAGGUGCUGGGAAAAGGUGAUUAAGGAAGCCCUUGAAGACCAUUUGUUGGUGGGUUUCUCCAGCCACAGGCUCUGCAAUUGCUUUUGUGCCUAGCAAGGUGGUGGGAGGACAGGCUGGAAGUUUGCUUCUGAUUGUGCCUGCGGGUCACCUCAGCACCCACAGGGCAUGUGAGAGAAUGCAGUACCUUUAGCACUGGAAAAACCGGAUACCUUAAAAUCCUGAGAAUCUGUUCCAGGAAGAACAUAGAGAACAAAGGGUGAAGAGUAACAUCUUUUGCUUCUGGAAGAGCAGGCAGCAGGCAUGCGAGACCGAGAUCCUGGGCUUCAUAAGGACCUGCUAGGAUUCAUAUAAAUGAGGACAACUCUUGGGAGGAUGACAGAUCGCCUUCAAAUCUGGGAAUCGUGACAGUGCCUUCAUUCCCUUUGCAUCAGCCUCGGGGGAGAGCCGUGAGCUGGAACACUCAGUGUGCCCAGCUGACAGUUUGUUCCAGUGCCAGAACAAGCAGCCACAUUGUCCUAGGAGCCCUGCACUAAAAUGUGCACAGAGCUGCAAGCCACUGACUUGACCUCAGAGCACCCUCAACCUGAGGACCCAGGCCAAUGCCUACCAGUAAUAUAAUUUGAAUCUGGUGCUGCAGGGAUGCAUUGUUAUAUGAUUAAUUAAAGCCAUUAAACCAGUAUGCCUCUUCAUCCAGAUGUGAAAAUUCAGAAAUACCAGAGUCAGCGACACUGAAGGGGCUGAACCAAGAAGAGAAAUAAAUGUUUGUGAUUUAAAAAA